rnacentral:misc_RNA from 1 species
AGACUUGUUUCCAUCUUGGUGUGGUUCGUUUCUCUUCUUCUGGCUUUGACACCGUUGUUUGGACACGAUUACUUUGAUGGUUACUAUUCUAGUUCUAGGAUAUGUAUCUCAUUAUCGUUGUCCGUUCUCCGCAAACCCGGUUGGGAAUAUUCUAUGAUUAUAUUUGUUGGAGCCAAUUUUGUAUUUUUCAUUGGUAUUCUACUGGGACAGUUUAUCAUAUUUGCUGAUGUUGUUCGAAUGGGGAAAGAAGUUAACUCGCAUCACAAAACACAGAAUAACAGAGAGAUAUAUCUUGCAAAAAACCUUAUCGCAGUUGCCGUAACAGACAUUUUCUGCUGGAUUCCAAUAGGAGUGAUCGGUUUCCUGACAUUUAUGGGUAUUGAUGUCACGUCCAAGGUUUAUGCGUGGGUGAUCGUCGUAGUCCUCCCUAUUAACUCUGCGCUGAACCCAAUCAUCUAUACUUUCUCCGCCAUGCUGCGAAGAAGGCAACGAAAUAGCUUAUCCAAUAGACUCAGCUAUUCCAAUACAAAUGAGGAAAAAAGAUCAGGGGAGAUUAAUCGGUCUUCUAUAUCGGCCAGCGGAAAGCAGUCAGUUCAUUCCAUUCAAACCAUAAUGAAGUAAAGCUAUUGAAAUUUC